rnacentral:rRNA from 1 species
AGAGUUUGAUCCUGGCUCAGAACGAACGUUAGCGGCGCGCUUAACACAUGCAAGUCGUGCGAGAAAGGGGCAACCCCGGUAAAGCGGCGCACGGGUGAGUAACACGUAGGUAAUCUACCUCCAGGUGGUGGAUAACCUUCCGAAAGGAGGGCUAAUACAGCAUGAGACCACGGUUCCGCAAGGGAUUGAGGUCAAAGCCGGCCUCUUCAUGAAAGCUGGCGCCAGGAGAUGAGCCUGCGGCCCAUCAGCUAGUUGGUAGGGUAACGGCCUACCAAGGCGAAGACGGGUAGCUGGUCUGAGAGGAUGAUCAGCCACACUGGAACUGAGACACGGUCCAGACUCCUACGGGAGGCAGCAGUGGGGAAUCUUGCGCAAUGGGCGAAAGCCUGACGCAGCGACGCCGCGUGAGUGAUGAAGGCCUUCGGGUUGUAAAGCUCUGUGGAGAGGGACGAAUAAGUCGUGGCCAACAUCCACGAUGAUGACGGUACCUCUUUAGCAAGCACCGGCUAACUCUGUGCCAGCAGCCGCGGUAAGACAGAGGGUGCAAACGUUGUUCGGAAUUACUGGGCGUAAAGCGCGUGUAGGCUGCUUCGCAAGUCGGAUGUGAAAGCCCUGGGCUCAACCUAGGAAGUGCAUUCGAAACUGCGAAGCUGGAGUCCUGGAGAGGAAGGCGGAAUUCUCGGUGUAGAGGUGAAAUUCGUAGAUAUCGAGAGGAACACCGGUGGCGAAGGCGGCCUUCUGGACAGUGACUGACGCUGAGACGCGAAAGCGUGGGGAGCAAACAGGAUUAGAUACCCUGUAGUCCACGCCGUAAACGAUGGGUGCUAGGGUGUCGCGGGCUUUGACCCCUGCGGUGCCGUAGCUAACGCAUUAAGCACCCCGCCUGGGGAGUACGGCCGCAAGGCUAAAACUCAAAGGAAUUGACGG